AUUCUUCUAAGUAUCAAGAAAGGGAGCCCUUGCUUCCCUGGAAGACAUUUCAUCCCAGCAAUCCCUCUCCAGUUCCAUGUGACCAUUCCUACUCUGAGCCAGUUUUGGAAAGGAAGGGAAGACAUUCUUCCAAGUAUCAAGAAAGAGAGCCCUUGCUUCCCUGGAAGACAUUUCGUCCCAGCAAUCACUCUCCAGUUCCAUGUGACCAUUCCUACUCUGAGCCAGUUUUGGAAAGGAAGUCAUCUCACAUGCCACCUUGGAAGGCAGAGAAACACAGAUAAUCAGGGAAGACAUUCUUCCAAGUAUCAAGAAAGGGAGCCCUUGCUUCCAUGGAAGAUAUUUCCUCCCAACAAUCCCUCUCCAGUUCAAUGUGACCAUUCCUACUCUGAGCCAGUUUUGGAAAGGAAGUCAUCUCACAUGCCACCUUGGAAGGCAGAGAAACACAGAUAAUCAGGGAAGACAUUCUUCCAAGUAUCAAGAGAGGGAGCCCUUGCUUCCCUGGAAGACAUUUCGUCCCAGCAAUCACUCUCCAGUUCCAUGUGACCAUUCCUACUCUGAGCCAGUUUUGGAAAGGAAGUCAUCUCACAUGCCACCUUGGAAGGCAGAGAAACACAGAUAAUCAGGGAAGACAUUCUUCCAAGUAUCAAGAGAGGGAGCCCUUGCUUCCCUGGAAGACAUUUCGUCCCA
rnacentral:lncRNA from 1 species